CAGCAGCCGCGGGAAUACCGAGGGUGCAAGCGUUAAUCGGAAUUACUGGGCGUAAAGUGCGCGUAGGUGGUUUGUUAAGUUGGAUGUGAAAUCCCCGGGCUCAACCUGGGAACUGCAUCCAAAACUGGCAAGCUAGAGUAUGGUAGAGGGUGGUGGAAUUUCCUGUGUAGCGGUGAAAUGCGUAGAUAUAGGAAGGAACACCAGUGGCGAAGGCGACCACCUGGACUGAUACUGACACUGAGGUGCGAAAGCGUGGGGAGCAAACAGGAUUAGAUACCCCAGUAGUCCCUGUCUCUUAUAC
rnacentral:rRNA from 1 species